rnacentral:rRNA from 1 species
CCAAGGAGUUUAGCGUGUGCGCGAGUCACUGGGUGGAAAACCCAAAGGCCCAAUGAAAGUGAAGGAAACUUGGCUUUCUCAGGGAGGAUGGGCGCGCGUCCUUCAACGGCGCCGCCCCGCACUCCCGGGGCGUCUCUUUCUCAUCACGAGUGGAGGCGCACCCAGAGCGCACACGCUGAUACCCGAAAGAUGGUGAACUAUGCCUGGCCAGGACGAAGCCAGGGGAAACCCUGGUGGAGGUCCGCAGCGAUUCUGACGUGCAAAUCGAUCGUCGGAGCUGGGUAUAGCGGCGAAAGACCAAUCGAACCAUCUAGUAGCUGGUUCCAUCUGAAGUUUCCCUCAGGAUAGC